rnacentral:RNase_P_RNA from 1 species
CAAGACCAAAUAGGAAUCCAUUAGGCAUGGCCCAUGCUGGAUUCGGGUAGGUCGCUUGAGCGCAUGAGUGAUUGUGCGC